rnacentral:rRNA from 2 species
AGGUUUCGUAGUGACCUGCGGAAGGAUCAUUA